rnacentral:lncRNA from 1 species
CGCAAAUGUGAUGCUUACAGUGCAUUAUGCAUGAACUGAGGAACCUAGUUCUCAAGAGGAACCAAAAUUUAAGAGCUCUAAGCCUAUGCACGAUAUUUGGUCUUGGAAAUGCACGACCAUAUUAGAACAUCUUUUACACUAGAGGUUAUCUGAAUUUGUACCAGAAACUUGAUUCAUUCAUGCAGUCUGAUCACACCAGCUAAAUGUCUAACACAAUCGUUCAACAAAUUAAAUGUGGAGGUUCUUUGCGGACGCAGAGUGUACUGCACGCUACUCUUUAUUUGCGCACAUCACAUUCACGCCUGGUGGCAACACUAAACCCACGCUAGGAAGAUAAUGCACUGAAGUAUCUAUAUCGAUGAUUUGCUCGACAACGUGGUCCCCUGAUGCCUCGCAAGCCUAUGAAUAUCUCGGGAGAAGAAAAUGGAUGGGAUCAAGGAGGAAUUUCCAUAUACAACUGAGAGUAGCUAAGCGAGAAGGUAACCCUUGUGACUUUGCGAGUUUGUAAGCUUUGCGUUGCUCUUUAUAGGCACGCAUGCAUUUUUCAUGGCAGUAAAAAACUUGCUGCGCAGACGACAGGACGGAGGAACAUGAGUAGCAUUAUUCGACAUUCAUUUAGCGCGCGCGACAUAUUCAUGCUCAAUUACAGUGGGCGCUGCCAUUCAUUUGAUUUUCACAUGGAAUUCUGAUUCAGUCGGUUAUUGUGAUUGUACCGGUGUACUACACGAU